UACGAAGGGGGCUAGCGUUGUUCGGAAUCACUGGGCGUAAAGGGCGCGUAGGCGGCUUUAUAAGUCGGGGGUGAAAGCCUGUGGCUCAACCACAGAAUUGCCUUCGAUACUGUAGAGCUUGAGACCGGAAGAGGUAAGUGGAACUGCGAGUGUAGAGGUGAAAUGCGUAGAUAUUCGCAAGAACACCAGUGGCGAAGGCGGCUCACUGGCCCGAUACUGACGCUGAGGCACGAAAGCGUGGGGAGCAAACAGG
rnacentral:rRNA from 1 species